GACGAACGCUGGCGGCGUGCUUAACACAUGCAAGUCGAACGGAAAGGCCCUGCUUUUGUGGGGUGCUCGAGUGGCGAACGGGUGAGUAACACGUGAGUAACCUGCCCUUGACUUUGGGAUAACUUCAGGAAACUGGGGCUAAUACCGGAUAGGAGCUCCUGCUGCAUGGUGGGGGUUGGAAAGUUUCGGCGGUUGGGGUUGGACUCGCGGCUUAUCAGCUUGUUGGUGGGGUAGUGGCUUACCAAGGCUUUGACGGGUAGCCGGCCUGGGAGGGUGACCGGCCACAUUGGGACUGAGAUACGGCCCAGACUCCUACGGGAGGCAGCAGUGGGGAAUAUUGCACAGUGGGCGGAAGCCUGAUGCGGCAACGCCGCGUGCGGGAUGACGGCCUUCGGGUUGUGAACCGCUUUCGCCUGUGACGAAGCGUGAGUGACGGUAAUGGGUAAAGAAGCACCGGCUAACUACGUG
rnacentral:rRNA from 1 species